rnacentral:lncRNA from 1 species
GCAUGAAAUCGCACGUGGAAGAGUAUUCGCACGUUUUACUCACACUGUGAGGAACUCGGAUUAAAACAUCUGAGAUUGGUGGACUUUUGCGCAAUUAUGCUAUGUGUAUAUAUAGCAUUCUAGGGUUUUGCACUUGGAACCCUAAUCCUAGCCUUAGCCGCACCCUCCAGCUGACCUAGCCACCUCUACCCCCUCACCUCGUGCGCCGCGCACCCCCGACCACCGCCAACCCAACCUCAGUCGGCCGGCAGCAGCCAUUGCCAUCUCCUUCUUCUUCUUCUCCCUCUCCAUCUUGUCACGCCCCGGGACCCAGCGGAAGCCUGCCCGGCGCGUGCCCAGACCCGCCAUAUGUCUACAACAUAUAAGGCGUCUAAAAACAACAAUAAUAAAAGCAAUAAUACAAGACAUCUAGUAGUAUCAGAGCAUAAUAAAAGUCCAAAUGCUACAACAAGGGAUAAAGUUAAAACUGUAAAUCCACUAAAUAAAACAUAA